GGUUCAAACGGGUAGAGCAGCGGACUGAAAAUCCGCGUGUCGGUGGUUCGAAUCCGCCCCUGGGCACCA
rnacentral:tRNA from 1 species